rnacentral:ncRNA from 2 species
CCGCCCGCAAGGGGGAGCCGAGAGGCUGAGAGGUCCUGGAGACAGGACGACCCCGGAACCUGAUCUGGUUAGUACCAGCGGAGGGAUUGUGGAAGGCGCGGUC